rnacentral:sRNA from 1 species
GGAUGAGAGGAAGUAAGGAAGGGAAAAAAGGAAGAGAGAUGUGAGGCCCACCUGGCAGGCCAGGCAGACUUCCCCCCCAGUUCCAUAUGCACCCCUCUGGAAGCUGCAAACUUAGAACAAGAGGAUGACCUAUAGAGGACCCUUCCUCCAUAAAGGAUGUACAAGCAGCUGCUAGAACCUCUAAACAUCUCUCAAGAAAUUUUUUGAGGAUUUGAACCUGGGUCUCUGAAUAUCUAGAUUUUUAAAUUUAGAUUUUAAAACUAUUCU